rnacentral:rRNA from 1 species
AUUGAACGCUGGCGGCAGGCCUAACACAUGCAAGUAGAACGAGUGGCUGACGGGUGAGUAAUGUCUGGGAAACUGCCUGAUGGAGGGGGAUAACUACUGGAAACGGUAGCUAAUACCGCAUACCAUCAGAUGUGCCCAGAUGGGAUUAGCUAGUGGGUGGGGUAACGGAUCACCAAGGCGCCGAUCCCUAGCUGGUCUGAGAGGAUGACCAGCGACACUGGAACUGAGACAAGGUCCAGACUCUUACGGGAGGCAGCAGUGGGUAAUAUUGCACAAUGGGCGCAAGCCUGAGGCAGCCAUGCCGCGUGUAUGAAGAAGGCCGUCGGGUUGUAAAGUACUGUCAGCGGGGAGGCGUUACCCGCAGAAGAAGAACCGGCUAACUCCGUGCCAGCAGCCGCGGUAAUUC